rnacentral:antisense_RNA from 1 species
CGUUGCGGUAGGACGGGAGAGGGACACUUUCGAGUGUGCUGGUGUCAAUCCAAUCCGGUCUGUCAACCCUUUCUCGUUCUGCCACCAUA